rnacentral:rRNA from 1 species
GAUGAACGCUGGCGGCGUGCUUAACACAUGCAAGUCGAGCGGAGAUAUUUAAACGGAAGGUUUCGGCUGGAAGGUUAAAUAUCUUAGCGGCGGACGGGUGAGUAACGUGUGGGCAACCUGCCCUGUACUGUGGAAUAAUCACUGGAAACGGUGACUAAUACCGCAUGUCAUCACAAGGGGGCAUCCCCUUGUGAGAAAAGGAUUUAUUCGGUACGGGAUGGGCCCGCAUCUGAUUAGCUAGUUGGUGAGAUAACAGCCCACCAAGGCAACGAUCAGUAGCCGACCUGAGAGGGUGAUCGGCCACAUUGGGACUGAGACACGGCCCAAACUCCUACGGGAGGCAGCAGUGGGGAAUAUUGCACAAUGGGCGAAAGCCUGAUGCAGCAACGCCGCGUGAAGGAUGAAGGGUUUCGGCUCGUAAACUUCUAUCAAUAGGGACGAAAAAAAUGACGGUACCUAAAUAAGAAGCCCCGGCUAACUACGUGCCAGCAGCCGCGGUAAUACGUAGGGGGCAAGCGUUAUCCGGAAUUACUGGGUGUAAAGGGAGAGUAGGCGGCAUGGUAAGUUAGAUGUGAAAGCCCGGGGCUUAACCUCGGGAUUGCAUUUAAAACUAUCAAGCUAGAGUACAGGAGAGGUAAGUGGAAUUCCUAGUGUAGCGGUGAAAUGCGUAGAUAUUAGGAAGAACACCAGUGGCGAAGGCGACUUACUGGACUGAAACUGACGCUGAGGCUCGAAAGCGUGGGGAGCGAACAGGAUUAGAUACCCUGGUAGUCCACGCCGUAAACGAUGAGUGCUAGGUGUCGGGGGGGAACCCUCGGUGCCGCAGCUAACGCAAUAAGCACUCCACCUGGGGAGUACGAUCGCAAGAUUGA